rnacentral:rRNA from 1 species
CGUGGGUAACCUGCCCAAGAGAUCGGGAUAACACCUGGAAACAGAUGCUAAUACCGGAUAACAACAGAUGAUGCCUAUCAACUGUUUAAAAGAUGGUUCUGCUAUCACUCUUGGAUGGACCUGCGGUGCAUUAGCUAGUUGGUAGGGUAACGGCCUACCAAGGCGAUGAUGCAUAGCCGAGUUGAGAGACUGAUCGGCCACGUUGGGACUGAGACACGGCCCAAACUCCUACGGGAGGCAGCAGAA